rnacentral:rRNA from 1 species
UGCGAAGGUAGCAUAAUCAUUAGUCUUUUAAUUGAAGACUGGAAUGAAUGGUCGGACAAAAAGUAAGCUGUCUCAGUUUUAAAAAUUGAAAUUAACUUUUAAGUGAAAAGGCUUAAAUGCUCUGAGAGGACGAUAAGACCCUAUAAAACUUCAUAUUCAGGCCAAUAAAUUCCUAUUUAUAUAUUUAAAGUCAUUUAUUGGCCUGAAUAUUGCGUUGGGGAGACGUAAGUAAAACAAAUAACUGCUUUCGAUUUUAAACAAUCAUAUUUGACUCUAUACGACCCUUUAUAAAGAUCUAAAGAUAAAGUUACUUUAGGGAUAACAGCGUUAUUUUUUUUGAGAGUUCCUAUCGACAAAAAAGUUUGCGACCUCGAUGUUGAAUUAAAACAACCUUAUAGUGCAGCAAUUAUAAAGGUAGGUCUGUUCGAC